UACGUAGGGUGCAAGCGUUGUCCGGAAUUAUUGGGCGUAAAGAGCUCGUAGGCGGUUUGUCGCGUCUGCUGUGAAAACGCGAGGCUCAACCUCGCGCCUGCAGUGGGUACGGGCAGACUAGAGUGCGGUAGGGGAGAUUGGAAUUCCUGGUGUAGCGGUGGAAUGCGCAGAUAUCAGGAGGAACACCGAUGGCGAAGGCAGAUCUCUGGGGCCGUAACUGACGCUGAGGAGCGAAAGCGUGGGGAGCGAACAGG
rnacentral:rRNA from 1 species